CAGUCGCCGCGGGAACACGAAGGGGGCUAGCGUUGUUCGGAAUUACUGGGCGUAAAGCGCACGUAGGCGGAUAUUUAAGUCAGGGGUGAAAUCCCAGAGCUCAACUCUGGAACUGCCUUUGAUACUGGGUAUCUUGAGUAUGGAAGAGGUGAGUGGAAUUCCGAGUGUAGAGGUGAAAUUCGUAGAUAUUCGGAGGAACGCCAGUGGCGAAGGCGGCUCACUGGUCCAUUACUGACGCUGAGGUGCGAAAGCGUGGGGAGCAAACAGGAUUAGAUACCCCCGUAGUCCCUGUCUCUUAUAC
rnacentral:rRNA from 1 species